AUUGAACGCUGGCGGCAGGCCUAACACAUGCAAGUCGAACGAGUGGCGGACGGGUGAGUAACGUCUGGGAAACUGGCCGAUGGGGGGGGGUAACCAGUGGGAACGGUAGCUUAAACCGCCUUCCAUCGGAUGUGCCCAGAUGGGAUUAGCUGGUGGGUGGGGUAAAGGCUCCCUUAGGCGACGACCCCUAGCUGGUCUGAGAGGAUGACCAGCCACACUGGACCUGAGACACGGUCCAGACUCCUACGGGAGGCAGCGGUGGGGAAUAUUGCACAAUGGGCGCAAGCCUGAUGCAGCCAUGCCGCGUGUAUGAAGCAGGCCUUCGGGUUUUAAGGUACUUUCAGCGGGGAGGCGUUACCCGCAGAAGAAGCACCGGCUAACUCCGUGCCAGCAGCCGCGGUAAUAC
rnacentral:rRNA from 1 species